GUGCUCACUUAGGCAGCACAUAUACUAAAAUUGGAAUAAUAACAGGAAGAUGAACAUGGUACUUGCACAUGGAUGACACAUAAACUAGUCAAGAGUUCCAUAUUUUU
ensembl:snRNA U6 U6 spliceosomal RNA